rnacentral:rRNA from 1 species
GGGUACGAUCAUACCAGCGUUAAUGCACCAGAUCCCAUCAAAACUCCGCAGUUAAGAGUGCUUGGGCCAGAGUAGUACUAGGUGGGUGACCUCCCGGGAAGUCCUGGUGUUGCACCCU